rnacentral:lncRNA from 1 species
AUGAAGCAGGGAGUUUCAGAAAUUAAGACUGUCAAGCAAAAAGGAGAACGCUUUCACUCAACCUUCCUCUCUCCCCGUGUAUAUACAAGCCAAGCUUUCCCAGGGGCCAGGAAGACCGAGGCUAGCGCUGUCCACGGUGCUGAACAGCCGGCUGAGCCCACUCACCGGCCACCACCGCCGCUCCCAGGAAGCCGAGAAACACGGCCGGCUGCAUGGCUCCGAUCGCUCGAAUCUGCACGGAGAAGAGGAUGGGAGCUGGACCGGAAGGAUAUACUGAAUGUUUGCUGUGAACAUGGCACCAAGAAAGACAAACCAAGAGAGAGGCUCUGACCCCUUUCUUCAGUUUGACAAUGAAGUCUCUGCUGGGUCUGGCAUUAUGUGAGUUGUUGGGACUCAAGGACAGUUAGGACAUAUCAUAACUGACCUCAACAAGCCUAUCAGGAGUUCAGAGGUACAAAUAAAUAAUUAUAAGCCAGAUACUGAGUGCUUCUUUAGAGGAAAUAUAAAAUAGGACCAGUACAAAGGUUGGCAGGGAUGUCCCAAGGCUUCCACUGGAGCUGAUUUUUGAGCUGGCUUUUAAGUAAACAUAUGCCAGAGAAGCUUAUUAUUUCCUAGGAUGAUGAAUAACAUUAAAGACAAAAUAGCAGUUACAAGGCAGUGUGCCACUCAUGCUGGAGCUGGCUUGUACUAGUUCAUGAGAGUUGACUGUUACAUUUUCAGGAAUUUCAAGAGAGUUGGCUGACAUCACAUUGGCAGCUUGAACUCAGCCAUCGUGGGAAUAUUACACACAGA